UAUUGAGAUACAAUCCAUAUGCCAUAAAGUUCACCCAUUUAGUGUAUAUAAUUCAAUGAGAAAGUUCACCCAUUAGUGUAUAUAAUUCAAUGAGAAAGUUCACCCAUUUAGUGUAUAUAAUUCAAUGAGAAAGUUCACCCAUUUAGUGUAUAUAAUUCAAUGAGAAAGUUCACCCAUUUAGUGUAUACAAUUCGAUGAUAAAGUUCACCCGUUUAGUGUAUAUAAUUCAAUGAAUUUUACCAUAUUCUCAAAGUUGUGCAACCACCAUCACAAGCAAUUUUCAGAGACCUUUCUCACCUCCCAGAAACGCCCUCUACCCAUAGCAGUCACUCCUCACUUCCCCCCAGUCGCCCCACCCCCAGCCCUAGGCAACCAGGAAUCCAUGUGCUGUGUCCAUAGAACUGUCUACCGUGGAAACUUCAUAUGUGUGGAAUGACACAUGUGGCCUCUGCAUCUGGCUUCUUUCACAUAGCCUAAUGUUUUCAAGGCUGGCGCAUGUUGUAGCAUCUAUCAGAACUUCAUUCCUCCUUACAGCUGAUAACACUCCAUUAUGUGGAUAUGGAUAUGCCACACUUUAUCUUUUCAUCAGUUCGUGGACAUCUGGAUUGUCUCCACUUUUUGACUACUACACGUUCUGAAUUACCAGCGAUUUCACUCACUCAGAAUACAUAGAGACGAGGCUCCUCAUUCAGAAUCUCCCUGCACCUCAUGAUGGACUUGGCUGCACAUGGGACAACUCAGUCAUUUCCUGGAACUUGCAUUUCACUGGGAGAGGCCUGCUCUCAGGGAGGGCCAUCAUGGAAACAGUUACUGGAUUUAUAUUGGAAAAUUCCUACCAGGGUGUGACGCCUUCAAUCGCCCUUCGUUUCCCGUGAUC
rnacentral:lncRNA from 1 species